rnacentral:rRNA from 1 species
AUACAACUUUUGACAACGGAUCUCUUGGCUCUCUCACCGAUGAAGAACGAACCGAAUUGAUUUAAAUAAUGUGAAUUGCUUUUUCUUUGAAUCAUCCAAUCUUUGAACGCAUAUUGCUCUCCUUGGUAUUCCUAGGAAGACGCCUGUUUGAUAACC